rnacentral:lncRNA from 1 species
UGUUUCAUUGGGGAGCUUUCUCUAGGUUAAUAAAUGAGAAUCUUUUGUCCUGCAUGUAAAAAAUAACCCUGGAUAACCACACAAGCAAGGUCAGCUCACUGAUCAAAAUACUAACAGGGAAGUUAUGGACAUGAGGUGCUUUAAGGGCACUUUAUCUCCAGACCUGGACCAUGACCUUGACACAGGACAUUUUUUUCCCUCUCUUACAAAAUAGCUAUUUACAGUGAGUUUGUUUUUGAAUGACUCAUUUGAGAAAAGAAGUAGCUUUUCACACCUAAAGAUGAAAAAUACCUGUAAGGGAAAAAUGUCAAGUUACUCCCUCAUCUACUUAUUGUUUGUGGGUCUCAAAAACACAAGCCACUUUGAUGGUGGGAUUAAAUGAGUCAGGAAACACAGGAUUUGGCCAUGAGUCACUUAAGCUGAGUUUUGGAGUUAGGUCCCGUAAACCCCAAGAGAUCCUCUUUGUUCCAUAGGCACACCAACUGCCUUACUGCUUUAGAAUGCUCUGAAGGUGAUUUAACUGACCCGUACCAAACUGACCAGCCACUCUGAACUGGGUGCCCUGACCCAGAUAAGGAAACUGAGGCACUGAGAGGCUGAAUAGCUUGUCCAAGUCAGUGGAUGAGCCAAGAUUUACAACCUGGCAGACUGCUGUAGUCUAUGAACUUACCUUCUUCCCUCCACACCCCAGAUACUCCAGUUUCCUUGGAUCUUGUAGUUAACAUGACUUCAAAGGCACUAGGGCUUCAAAGUGGCAUUUAAAUUUAAGAAUAGUCAAAGGUCUCUGUGGAGAUAAAUGAGAUAAAAUACAAAGGCAUCCUGAAAAAUGGUGGUACCUGCUCAAGUAAUAUUAGCUACUAUCCCUAUUUGAGCAAGAACAUUGUAAUGGCACCUAGAAAAAUGUUUUGUCGUCAAAUCACUGAGGUCAGCCAAUAAGGUAUCUUUUGGGCCUGAAAAGUUCUUGUCAUGACUCUCAUGAAUUGCAGAAAAGUAUACCCUCUUUGGUCAGAGUGCCUGGAUUUAAAUCCUGUAUCUGCCACUUACUAGCUUGUGAUUCUGGGCAAGUUGCUUAAUGUCUCUGUAUUUCUGUUUGCUCACUUAUAUAAUUUGUGUAAUAAUAGUACUCUCAUUGGUUGUUAUGAAGAUAAAAUAAGUUAAUAUUUAUAGAUUUCGCACAGCAGUGAUUUACACACAAUUACUACUACAUAGGUGUUUGUUAAGUAAAUACCUUCACAAUGUCUUGCUCAUUUAAACUCUAAUAAUGGUAUUAGACUGUAUGGUUUAUUUAGUCACAUACAUUUCUGGCAUUUUUUGGUUUAUGGCUCAAAUAGAAAAUUAUAUCAUACCUUGUAGAGGUAAGCAGAAGUACAAGCUUUCGGAUAUUCUGCAAAUAUUAUUUUACAUAGCUGAAUAGUUCACCUUCAUGAUGCUGACAAGUCUUGGUUGAUUUAUUAUUUUUGGAAUGUGGUGUCCAUUGUGUAUUUAAACUGAAAUAAUACAAGUAAAAUUGUGAAUUUGUUAUAUAUUCUCAAAUUUUGAAUUUGUUAUAUAUUCUCAAUUUUGAAUUUGUUAUAUAUUCUCAAAGAUGUCUGACAUUAUAUAUCAUCCACAUAAUAAUUUGAGUUCAUACACGAAGGAGAAAGCCUGAAUAAAAGUGCAGUUACCUUG